rnacentral:piRNA from 1 species
AUAAAUAAAAUGACUGGUGUAUUUCUUGAAC